GGGGAUGUAGCUCAGUGGUAGAGCACGUGCCUCACAUGCCUGAGGCCCUGGGUUCGGUCCCCAGCACCA
rnacentral:tRNA from 1 species